GGAAGAAUGGAUAACCCGGCAUUUUGGAUCUAAGCGGCGAGCAGUUUUCCGGAGGCGAGCGGCGGGAGGUUUCGACGGCGAGCUGCCGGCAGCUGCUGCUGGACACGGAUGCGUGUGGCACUGGUGGUGCCCCGUUUGCCGGAGGCAGCACCGAGUCGAGCGGCCGGUGCUGCAAGAGGCUUCACGGUGGAUGGCGGCCUCUUCGGCGGCGACAGUGUGGCGACCCGCCUCCAUCCCCCUCUCCCUUCCUUGCCCGUGGCGAUGGACGAGGACCAUGGCCCGACCUCCUUCUCCAUAACCCGCACCCGCGCUCUCCUAUUUUUGCCGCUGGACUCUCAUCGCCACGGCGGCGGCGGCCCCUGCCUCCACUCCACGCUCCUCUUCUCUUCGUCGCGCACGGCGGCAGAAGGAGGGGUUCUGAUGGGAGCAAGGCUUGCGACCCCUCCGUCACAACUGCUCCGGGGCCCGGACAAAGCCGAGGCCGUCUCUGUGAACUCUCCAGCGAGCUGACCAUUGCCCUCCUCCAUCUAAGAUGCAAGGUAGCAGCAGCAAUACAGGUUCCAUGGCCUCUGUCGCAUAGCUGCCACCCAAAGCAGUCCCCAGGGUACGGUGGUGGUUGGCAUUCUGUUUGAUGCGGGCUGCAUCUACUCCCACGACAACGGUCAGCAACUAUGUGUUCACCAUCGGAGUUCUUCAGUAUCGCCCCCUCUCUGUCAUCGGAGUAUGUUUUUUCUGGUGUCUAUUCAAGUGGAUGACUGCUAAUAUACAAGGGAUAGAAUGUACUGUAUUUUAUUUCAAACUGAUGUGGAUUUCUGGAACAUGUCUUCUUAUUUUAUUGUUUGGCGGGUGCAAGUGAUGUUAGAUUCAAAUUUUGGGACCUUCCUUUACAGUAGCAAAAUUCAGGAUUGGCGAGAAGAAAAGUGAACAUAGAGGCUUCAGAUCUAUUAAUAGGAUACGAUGUUGCUUCCAACCCAUGGAUAUGAAUGUUCCAGUCGCUGGAGAGAUUGUUGGACAGAUGAAAUUGAUGAGAAAUCUUUGCCCCCCCCCCCCGCAGAUUAUGUAGUUUCAACACCAAGCUCAAACCUGUACAAUGGCACUGAAGUUGCGCCUCCAAAUCUCUUUGCAUCUUGAUGUAAUUAGCCCAGUAGUAUUCAGUUCUGUAGUAAUGAUUUGUGAUUUUUCCUGCUGCUGGUUGCCGAGUGCCAAGUGGCAUUUAGUUUCUCCAAAGGAAUUUCAUUUGUACUCGUAUGGAUGAUUUUUAUUACGUGAGAUAUUUUGUGGAAUCAUCAGUUCUUUUUCUACAUGGAAUAUAUUUAUUUGGCUUUGUUA